AUCCAAAACAGCAGAAUUACGGAAUUAAGUACUCACGUAAAAUAAGGAAUUUACAGUAGUUCCCUGUAAUUGGAAAUUGUAAUACCAUUGAUAAGAAGCAUCUAUUCUAUAUGAUGCCGAUAUAUUGAUUGCCUUUACACUGCACUUGAAAAAAAAAAGAAGAAGAACAAUGUUCAGAUAUUCUGACCAAAUUGCGUGAUUGUCACCAUGUACGAACACAACGUUUUUGUUUUUGUCUAAAGUUGUUACCCCACGAGAUUUUUGAAGUUAACUUUUACGACAAUAAUAAGCAAUUCAUAUUCGGGUGCAUGGAAAUUGGCUUUUCAUUUUUUAUUCGACACCCCUGCUAGGAAUUUUUUUUCUAUGUUAUUUAGCUUAGAAAUCGACUAAAAUAGAGUAGAAAUGAAAGGUCAAUUAUAUUUUUAAAAAAAUUCAAAAUCCUAACCUUGUAUUUGUUAUUUACCUCUUACUGUGUUAUAUUUAGAGUAUUUCUAGGAAAAAAAUCUUGUUUACCGGUUUAUGAGCUCACAACUGAGUGAGCACUGAAAAUGACUUUAAGAUCAUGCGCACUUCUGAAUUUACAAUGAGUGUACGAGUUAUUGCUUUUUAUCAUGGGAAAGAAAUUUCCGAUCUUUUUGAAAAAAAAGAUCAAAUCUAACAUCAAAUUGUCCUAUACCAAAAUUUAGAUUCGUUAUUAAAAUCAAAGUUUAUAUAUGACACUUCUUAUUUGAUAAAAUCAGGCAUAUUGGGAAAGACGAAUUUUUAUCAAUUUUAUCAUAUUGUAACUUCAAAUGUUGAUAGGUUGCAACGGGGUGCAGUUUACCGUUUGAUCUUUGUCAUGUUUAUUUUGCGGGAUUAUAUUCAUGGUAGUAGCUCUACCGUCUGUCACCACAAAUUUUCCUGAAAGAAUUUUCUGUAUACAGAUUUAUAUGUGUAAUGAUAUUUGACUAUCUUUGUGUUUGUAACCUUGUACAUGUACAAAUAAUAAAGUUGUUUUCCAACGGU
rnacentral:misc_RNA from 1 species